rnacentral:rRNA from 1 species
UACGGAGGAUGCGAGCGUUAUCCGGAUUUAUUGGGUUUAAAGGGUGCGUAGGCGGGAUGCCAAGUCAGCGGUAAAAAUGCGGUGCUCAACGCCGUCGAGCCGUUGAAACUGGCGUUCUUGAGUGGGCGAGAAGUAUGCGGAAUGCGUGGUGUAGCGGUGAAAUGCAUAGAUAUCACGCAGAACUCCGAUUGCGAAGGCAGCAUACCGGCGCCCUACUGACGCUGAGGCAUGAAAGCGUGGGUAUCGAACAGG